AUACGGAGGGUGCAAGCGUUGUCCGGAUUUAUUGGGUUUAAAGGGUGCGUAGGUGGUUUUUUAAGUCAGUGGUGAAAGCCUACAGCUUAACUGUAGAGGUGCCAUUGAAACUGGGGAACUUGAGUAUGGACGAGGUAGGCGGAAUUUGUGGUGUAGCGGUGAAAUGCAUAGAUACCACAAAGAACACCGAUAGCGAAGGUAGCUUACUAGGCCAUAACUGACACUGAGGCACGAAAGUGUGGGGAGCGAACAGGAUUAGAAACCCCGGUAGUCC
rnacentral:rRNA from 1 species